rnacentral:rRNA from 2 species
AUUGAUUUUAUGCUUGCAUAAAUGAUUUUUGGAUUCGGAGCGAGUGGCGAACUGGUGAGUAACACGUGGGUAACCUGCCCCGAAGCGGGGGAUAACAUUUGGAAACAAGUGCUAAUACCGCAUAAUUAGUUGGAACCGCAUGGUUCCAACUUGAAAGAUGGCUCUGCUAUCACUUUGGGAUGGACCCGCGCCGUAUUAGUUAGUUGGUGAGAUAAAAGCCCACCAAGACGAUGAUACGUAGCCGACCUGAGAGGGUAAUCGGCCACAUUGGGACUGAGACACGGCCCAGACUCCUACGGGAGGCAGCAGUAGGGAAUCUUCCACAAUGGACGAAAGUCUGAUGGAGCAACGCCGCGUGAGUGAUGAAGGUUUUCGGAUCGUAAAACUCUGUUGUUAAAGAAGAACAAGUGUUAGAGUAACUGUUAACACUUUGACGGUAUUUAACCAGAAAGCCACGGCUAACUACGUGCCACCAGCCGCGGUAAUACGUAAGUGGCAAGCGUUGUCCGGAUUUAUUGGGCGUAAAGCGAGCGCACGCGGUUUUGUAACUCUGCUGCGAAAGCCCUCAUCUCAUCUGAGGAAAUGCAGUGGAAACUACA